CCAUGUAUUAGGCCCAGCAGGCAUGCUGGGGAUUCAGAGACUCUGCCCCCCUUCUUCCCCCCAGGGCCUGACCAGGGGAGCUUACACACGUGGGCCCAGUUCCCAGAAGGCUAAGUCAGUAUGUUGAAGGCCGAGUGAAAGCCCAGCAUCCUUGGGGGCAGGGAGCAUGGCACCCGCACACCCAAGCCCAGGACGGGAGGCACCACAGCUCUCAUGCCAGCUGCCCCUGGCCCUGCCCGUGGACCAGCCUAGCGCCGCUGGGCUCACCACUCAAAUCAGCAUCUCCUCAAGGAGCCGCCCCCCAAGCUCAUUCUAAAGGAAAAGGCACACAUAUGUUUACAUGCAACUUCAGAAGGCUCAGAAGUGCUCAUUCAGAUGGCAUCACAGCUGAUGGGAGCUUGGCCCUUCCUGCCUUCCAGGUGGGGCCGGAGUUCUGGGAAAGCUGCAGGAAACCUCUCACGCGGCAGCCCCGGGCCAGGGCUGGCCGCCCACUGCUGGAGAAGAGGAGUCCUGAGCUGCCCCUCUGCUUACACUGCGUUUCCAGAAGCUGAUUAUCUGGAAGUGACUCCUGCCUUGAGCCAAGCCCUGUGCUAGGCACUUGGGGGAGGGAGAGAGACUGACCUCAUUGAAUUGAGGUGAGGUGGAGAAGGAAACCUACCCUAACCAGGGUGUGCUGGUAAGUGUUUAACAACCCGCUCUCCACAGGGAAAAAAUACCUGACUGCAGCAUUUACCAGCUCCCGUGGCAUAAAUACUCCCACCAUGGCCUAGUUCAAGAUGAUGUCUUUGGAAGAGAUUCACAGAAUCGGGUCUGGAGAGCAAGCGGGAGCCAGUUCCAAACUGACCCAAACUGACCCAUGUAAAAUGCAUGAAAAUAGAAGAGUACAUGCAAUUGUGUGGCCCCUGGAAGGAGGAGCGAUCCCUUCCGGCUGGGCUUCCCAGCUAAGCUUUGAGGAGCAAGUGGUAUUUGGUUUGGGGCUCGAGGAAGGACAGGGCUUUCUCCCGGGGAGCACUGGAUGGGAGGUCCUCCAGCUGGGGAAGAGCAGCCAGAGCCCAGGAAGCACCGAGAGGCUCAGCACGUCCGAGGUGGCAAGCCCAUGGACACCAGACCAAAUGGGCCUUAUAAACUCUGUGGAGGAGUUUGUCCUUUAGCUUUCCAGCAGUGGGGGAGGCACUGGUGCAUCUUCGGCCACUGUAGGAUCUGUUUGGUUGUGUUUCUUGUGAGUCCUGACUUGAUCAUAAUUUUUUUCUAAAAGGUUAUGUAUGUUCAUUACAAAACAAAGAAAGCAUUACCGCAAAGUUCCGAAAGAUGCCUUUUUAACAUUCGGUGACCAUCUUCCCAACAUGUCUUCAUACAUAUGUACAGACGAAAGUUUAGACAGAUAAAGUAGAAAUUACAUAAAACAAAUAAAAAUAAAAGGAAAGGAAAAAAAGAGGGAAACAUAGGAAUCAACUGGUCUUUCUUUUUACACUGGGUGUUGUCAGAACUGUGUGUGAUGUUUGGAGUGGUGGCAGUCAUCUUGCAACCCCGAGGGGAGCUACUCCAGGGUAGCACACACGCUGAGGGUGACAGAGUGGGAUGAUAGAGAGAAUGUGAGUGUUGAUGAUGAAGAGGAGCUGCUGUCCUUUACCUGUAGACCAUCAUGUGACAACUCUGGUUUUCAUACGUGUAUGGUUUCCUAUCUACCCAGAUUCUGAAUUCUCAAGGCUCAAAACCGGGUCAUAACAAAGCAUGAAGCAAGUCAGUGUGAUGUAGUUAUUCAAGAGCUCGGGCUUUGGAGUCAAACCAACCUGUAUUUGAACUAUCGCUCCUUAUGGGGGAACUACUUAAUCUCUUAGUGCCACAAUUUUCUCAUCUAUCUCU